ACAGCUGAAUGGUUUGUCUCCUGUGUGGAUUCUUAUGUGUUGUUUUAAGCUUGUCUUAUAACUAAAUCUAUGUCCACAUUCGUCACAGCUGAAUGGUUUUUCUCCUGUGUGGAUUCUCAUGUGUUUGUUUAAGUUUGU